AUUGAACGCUGGCGGCAGGCCUAACACAUGCAAGUCGAGCGGUUGACGGGAGCUUGCUCCCUGAUUCAGCGGCGGACGGGUGAGUAAUGCCUAGGAAUCUGCCUAUUAGUGGGGGACGACGUUUCGAAAGGAACGCUAAUACCGCAUACGUCCUACGGGAGAAAGCAGGGGACCUUCGGGCCUUGCGCUAAUAGAUGAGCCGAGGUCGGAUUAGCUUGUUGGUGAGGUAAUGGCUCACCAAGGCGACGAUCCGUAACUGGUCUGAGAGGAUGAUCAGUCACACUGGAACUGAGACACGGUCCAGACUCCUACGGGAGGCAGCAGUGGGGAAUAUUGGACAAUGGGCGAAAGCCUGAUCCAGCCAUGCCGCGUGUGUGAAGAAGGUCUUCGGAUUGUAAAGCACUUUAAGUUGGGAGAAAGGGUUGUAGAUUAAUACUCUGCAAUUUUGACGUUACCGACAGAAUAAGCACCGGCUAACUCUGUGCCAGCCGCCGCCGUAA
rnacentral:rRNA from 1 species